CCUACGGGCGGCAGCAGUGGGGGAUAUUGCGCAAUGAGGGGAACCCUGAUGCAGCGACGCCGCGUGGGUGAAGGAGCGUUUCGGCGCGUAAAGCCCUAUCGGCAGGGAAGAAGAUAACGGUACCUGACCAAUAAACCCCGGCUAAAUACGUGCCAGCAGCCGACGGUAUACGUAGGGGGCAAGCGUUCGGCGGAUUUACUGGGUGUAAAGGGGGCGCAGGCGGCAAUGCAAGCCAGGAGUGAAAGCCCGGUGGCCAAACCUGGGUCUGCUCUUGGAACUGCAUGGCUGGAGUACUGGAGGGGCAGGCGGAAUUCCUAGUGAAGCGGUGGAAUGCGUAGAUAUUAGGAGGAACACCGGCGGCGAAGGCAGUCUGCUGGACUGAGACUGACGUUGAGGACCGAAGGCGUGGGGAGCAAACAGGAUUAGAUACCCCAGUAGUC
rnacentral:rRNA from 1 species